UUCCCGUUCCUCUUCCUCUUCCUCCUCCUCUUCCUCUGGCGCUCCUUUUAGUUUGAUCUUUGUUUAACUUUGGUCUGAGGGUAAAAAUUGACUUCAUAAAAAAAAUUGAAUUUGAGACACUUCAAAUUACUGCUUUGAUUUCAUUGGUUGUUAUGUGUCUGUGUAAAUUAUUUGCUUCAGCUUGAUU
rnacentral:miRNA from 1 species